rnacentral:rRNA from 1 species
UGGGGGAUAUUGCACAAUGGGCGAAAGCCUGAUGCAGCGACGCCGCGUGGGGGAUGAAGGCCUUCGGGUUGUAAACUUCUUUUGCUCUGAACAAGGCAUGCCUUUGGGGUGUGUUGAGUGUAGGGGUUGAUUAGCGCCGGCUAACUACGUGCCAGCAGCCGCGGUAAUACGUAGGGCGCGAGCGUUGUCCGGAAUUAUUGGGCGUAAAGGGCUUGUAGGUGGCUGGUUGCGUCUGUCGUGAAAGCUCAUGGCUUAACUGUGGGUUUGCGGUGGGUACGGGCUGGCUUGAGUGCAGUAGGGGAGGCUGGAAAUCCUGGUGUAGCGGUGGAAUGCGCAGAUAUCAGGAGGAAUACCGGUGGCGAAGGCGGGUCUCUGGGCUGUUACUGACGCUGAGGAGCGAAAGCGUGGGGAGCGAACAGG